GAAGAAAGAGGGAGGAGUGAUUAACACAUGCAAGUCGAACGGAAAGGCCCUGCUUUUGUGGGGUGCUCGAGUGGCGAACGGGUGAGUAACACGUGAGUAACCUGCCCUUGACUUUGGGAUAACUUCAGGAAACUGGGGCUAAUACCGGAUAGGAGCUCCUGCUGCAUGGUGGGGGUUGGAAAGUUUCGGCGGUUGGGGAUGGACUCGCGGCUUAUCAGCUUGUUGGUGGGGGUAGUGGCUUACCAAGGCUUUGACGGGUAGCCGGCCUGAGAGGGUGACCGGACACAUUGGGACUGAGAUACGGCCCAGACUCCUACGGGAGGCAGCAGUGGGGAAUAUUGCACAAUGGGCGGAAGCCUGAUGCAGCAACGCCGCGUGCGGGAUGACGGCCUUCGGGUUGUAAACCGCUUUCGCCUGUGACGAAGCGUGAGUGACGGUAAUGGGUAAAGAAGCACCGGCUAACUACGUG
rnacentral:rRNA from 1 species